rnacentral:lncRNA from 1 species
UUAACGAAAAAUGCGCUCCUACGAAUGUAUUGUUAUGCCCUUAAAGCCUGUUUUCAACUUGUUUUAGUUGCGAUUUUACGAAUACCUGUAUUGUCUAAGUUUUCACACCUUCCAUAACGGCGUGAAAACACUUUAGAGUGGAAAAUGUCACUAUCAUUUAUCUGGACGUAAACAAUAAUUAAAGUGUGAAAACGUAGUAAUUAAAUUCGAAACACAUACGCUGUACACUAUGAGACAAGGUAGUGGUUAAUUUUUUCUCCUAGAACUAUCAGAUCGGAUGGCAUACCAGUCACACUUGCUUCGAUAUCUAUACGUCUCAAACAAUCAUUGCAUAAAGAAUAUUUAAGUCCUGAUCGUCUGUAUAAAUGCGUUUUGUUAUUCUGAACUAUUCAAUAAAGGGUAACUGAGGGUAUCGGAAUAUGCAAUUGCGAUUUUUGUUCUCGUGUAACAAUGUACCCUGUAUAUGUUUUAUGUACAGUGAAUAAAAAGUGAAGAAAAAAAACGUUUAAUAUUCUAGAUACCAGAUUCGAAUAAGAUUUGUAGUAAACCCAGAUGUACAUAUAAAAUUGGUAUACAUGUACUCCGAUACGAAAAUCUCAUGUUUAAAUACUUCCGGUUACGACGUGUAGAUAUUAAGGUGCUGUGUAACGAAAUUUCCUAUGCUACGCUCGAACGAAAAUGCAAUAUUACUGAAAAAACGGCCGGUCCCUUGGCUUUUCGUAGGAUCGCGAUUGUACUGUAUGUACAGUCCAGAGUUCGUCAGAUUUAAAUGAUGUUUAUAACGCAUAGUUUACUCGAUGUUACUAAAUCAAUUAAAACAUCAAUCUUUCUUUCAUUCAAACAUUAAGCAGGUUUUUCACACUUAAGGUAUUUAAUUCAUCACGUUUUCAUAAAUUGAAAACAAAGUAAUCGCCAAUUACUUCUUUACUUUUGCAUCAAAUGAUCACUGUUAUUAUAAUGCGUGUCAAAAUAAACGCAUGCCGCUAAUAGAUACACAAAAGAACAUGUUGACAACUUGCCAUGGAUGUUUUUGGAUUAACAGGUGACUCUUUUAAUCCGGCAAAUAUUUUGUUGUUCGGUUUUCGGAAGUCAAUUUAAGUGUUAAAAUAUAAACAGUCCUACAAAAAUCGUCCGGUUUUCAGAAUUCAGAAGUUCCGGUUUUCAGAAGUUAAAAAUAUAUAGAAAUAAGAACAAGAAAAAAUGGGACUUUAAGUUUUGUGCAGUUUUCAAAGGUUUCCGGUUUUCAGAAGGUUCGGUUUUCGGAAGUUCCACUGUAUAAGUGUGCACUACCUCUGAAAAUGAAAGUUUUUUUUUAAUAAUUGACUGUUGCUGUAAGGCAUUUAAUUACGAAUGUAGCAUUACUCACAUCUAAUUUAUAUAAAUUAAGUAAAAUUAAAUCCAUUAAAGAAGAUUUUCUGCAUUUCAAGUAAAUAUCUGCAGCUGGAAGAUUCUACUGGAUGAUGGGCAUUGCAUAUCUUUAAUCUUAUAUUCAUGCACGUGUUUUGUGUGUAAACAGAAUUACUUUUGCAAAGUAAAUGUAAAUAAUGGUAUUAUGAAUAUUAUCUUCUGUCAUUUCAGUGUUAAUGACAUUAUUGUAAUUGAUUGAUAGUGAGUUAUAUAAUUUUCACGUUCUUUUGAAUGUAAUGUGAGGGUAUUUUUUUCACAUAGAACUAGCUCAUGAUAAACACGUGUAUCUUUAUUCAUCAACUUACUGCGUUUGAUGAAAAAGAAUUGAAGGAAAAAAGUGACAGUUUAUUUAAUAAAUAUUCAGAUUUAGUUUUUAAUAUCAAAUAGUUAAUUCAAAAUUAAUUCACAGUCAGUUUGUCAGUCAUUCAUUGAGGAUUCUGAAUUAUAAUGAUAUAAUUUUCUUUACUCCAAAGUUUCAGAUGUUGUAUAUGAUUUGAUAGAUGUUUAGUGUACAUUUAAUAUUGAAUUGGUUAUUAUAUAUUCGUAGUUAAACUAAAUGUUUUCAAAACAUCAUGACAUAAUAAACUUCAGUAUUUAUCAAAGUUAUUGUAUUGAUAUUAACUACAAGAACUUUUAACAUUGUAUUAUAUUAUAUAUGUUCAUUAUUUACAACCAGUAAAAAAAUCACAGAGCGACCCAGAGGGUUUAAAUGGUUCUGAAGGUGUGUCUUUCAGAAAGGAACAGGCAAGAUUGCUAAAUGGUUCUGAAGGUGUGUCUUUCAGAAAGGAACAGGCAAGAUUGCUAAUUUUCUGUGAAUUGCUAAAGCAAAUCAAAUUCCAUCACAAUUAAACCAAAUUUAAAAUUAUACCAGAAGGCGUAUAUCUGAAAUGUAGUGGAAUAUAGUGUCUUUUUGUACAUUUACGCACUGGAAUUGGGUUCAAAGGAAGAAUUUGAGCUUGAUCUCACAAGACCUGGGUCCAGCAUUUGGAAACCCGAGUUUUAGAAUGCUUUGUGCCAUUGUGCAUUUUCACAGCUGUGUUUAAAAUCAACCUAUCAGAUGAAAAUAUUUGAAAACACUUGUGCUAACUUAUUUUCACAUUUUUAUAACUUUUCUCUUUUUCAAUAUUUUUCUUACCACUGUAGCUAAACAUCAUUGAAAUUUCAUGCCUGUACCUUUUUAGAGGGUUUGAAUGAGACCUGUGUAAUUUGUUCUUUAGAUGCAAUGAGUUACAACAAUCAUUCAUUCUGUUCUUGAUUUGUAGUCUUAUGAAGAACCAUUUAAAUAUCAGAUUUAUAUAUACACAAUACCUCAAAAAUAAACACACUUGUCUGAA